rnacentral:rRNA from 1 species
CCCCUAGAUGUUCUGGGCCGCACGCGCGCUACACUGAACAGUUCAACAAGUCUUAACCUUGGCCGAUAGGUCUGGGUAAUCUUUGAACGCUGUUCGUGAUUGGGAUAGACCUUUGCAAUUAUGGGUCUUCAACGAGGAAUUCCUAGUAAACGCAAGUCAUCAGCUUGCAUUGAUUACGUCCCUGCCCUUUGUACACACCGCCCGUCGCACCUACCGAUUGAAUGGUCCGGUGAAUAAUUUUGAUUGCUGUCUCUUUAGCAAUGAUGUGACAUGUGAAAUAUUUAAUGAACCUUAACACUUAGAGGAAGGAGAAGUCGUAACA